AAUUAUUAUUAGAUUUUUAAAUAAUUAUUCACGAAAUAAAUUGAGCUAAAUUUUUGGUAUUUUUGGAAAUUAUAACUAUAUGUUACAAAAUAUAUUAACUAAAUAGAUUUAGGGGUGAAAGGCCUAUCAAAUUUUAUGAUAUCUUGAAGUAUAUAAAAUAUAUCAAGUAUUUCUAAUUCAACUAUUGAAUGUUUAGGUUCAAUAGUAACAUUAUAUUUUUUAAAAAAUUGUUCAAUUUUUUUAAGUAAAAUUGAGUUAGAGCAUAAAAUAUACAUCAAAUUUUUAUUAUAUGAAUAUAAAUAUACUAUGGUUAUUAAUAAAUAUAAUCAUAUAUAAUGUAAUUAUUAGUAAUAGUUUAUUAAACUAUAUAAAGGAAUUCGGCAAGAAAAUUUUUCACCUGUUUAUCAAAAACAUAGCUUAUUGAAUAUCAUAAUAAGUAACCCCUGCUCAAUGGAAAUCUAAAUAGCCGCAGUACCUUGACUGUGCAAAGGUAGCAUAAUCAAUUGGCUUAUAAUUGAAGUCUGGAAUGAAUGGGUAAUCUGGAAAAUAACUGUCUUUAUUUGUAGUAUUUUGAAUUUACUUAUAAAGUGAAAAUACUUUAAUAUAAAUAUAAGACGAGAAGACCCUAGAAAUUUUUUGUUAAUAACUUUUGUUGGGGCGACAGGGUAACAUAUAAACUUACUUACAUUUAUAUAAAUCUUAUAAGGUACGUAACUAAAUUACUCUAGGGAUAACAGCAUAAUAUAUAAAAGUUUAUGACCUCGAUGUUGGACUAGGUAAUUAAAUAUUUAAAAGAUAUCUUAAUUUGCUCUGUUCGAGCAGUACCACCUACAU
rnacentral:rRNA from 1 species